UUAAUGGAUGUCCGCCAGUUUUACCUCUUCUCUACUGCCACUGUUUCAAGUGGCAGGGUAUUUGUAAGCCAUAUACCCUGCCACUUAUUCAGCAUUGGACAUCUAAAAAGUUCAAUGAUUGGUUUAAGCUAGAGAUUGAGGGGGAUUUUGUGUUUGGCCGUGGUGACUGGGUGGAAGGUGUGUUCCGUAUUAGUGAACACAAAAAUGAAAAAGUGACUGCAGACAUGGAUGGAAAGAAGGAAAACAAAGAUGCAGAGGAACCAAAGCAAUGUCCACGUGAUGAAGCUUUUCUAACAAGCUCU
rnacentral:lncRNA from 1 species